UAAGGAAUAUUGGUCAAUGGACGCAAGUCUGAAUCAGCCAUGCCGCGUGAAGGAUGAAGGUCCUCUGGAUUGUAAACUUCUUUUAUCUGGGACGAAAACGGGAUUUUUAUCUCAAUUGACGGUACCAGAGGAAUAAGCACCGGCUAACUCCGUGCCAGCAGCCGCGGUAAUACGGAGGGUGCGAGCGUUAUCCGGAUUUACUGGGCUUAAAGGGUGCGUAGGUGGGCUUAUAAGUCAGUGGUGAAAUCUCCGAGCUUAACUUGGAAACUGCCGUUGAUACUAUAGGUCUUGAAUUAUCUGGAGGUAAGCGGAAUAUGUCAUGUAGCGGUGAAAUGCUUAGAUAUGACAUAGAACACCAAUUGCGAAGGCAGCUUACUACAUAUAAAUUGACGCUGAGGCACGAAAGCGUGGGGAUCAAACA
rnacentral:rRNA from 1 species